rnacentral:piRNA from 1 species
UGAGCGGGUUGUAAUGAGAAAUAUAUGUUG